AAAAAAAAUCUCCACCGCUUUCUUAUCUCUGAUUUUUCCCCAGCAGUCCGGCUCCAGCUCGUCGAGCUCCUCCUUGCUUCUCUCCACGGCGCUCAGCUGUUCCUACUCCCUCCCCUGCACGCUCCAUCUCUUCACGCGCGCUUCUCUGCUCGCUGCGCGCGCCUGCUCCCAAGUCGCGCCCCCUCAGCUCGCUCCCUGUUCGCCGCGCCCAGCUUGGCCGCUCCUCCCGUUUCCUGCUCACGCCGCCGUCGAGCUCUCUGGCCGUCGCGCCCAUAUCCCCUGCUCCUCCGGCGCCGCGGCUUCCCAGCUUCUGCCAGCCGGCCGAGCUCUCUCGUCAAGACUCCAGUCCGAACUCCCUCCUCUUUCCCCCAUGGUCACUCGGGUCCUGCUCGCCAUCUGUCCACGAGUCACGCGUCGAGCAAUGGAGGAAAAUCUACAGCCUAAGCCUUGAUCAAUAUGUGUGGAUUUGGAAAAGAAGACUGAAGUCGGCUUGUGUCGCACGUCUGGUCGACGAAAAGCUCGAACAUGAGACCGUCAUCGAUCCAGCCGUCGCCUAUCUCGCCAACAUUUAUCGGCCGUGGUUCAGCUCGCCAUGAGUCUGGUCUAGCCAUCGUCCCUGCUUUGCCUUCCCCAAGCAGCCGUGUGGAUGGUCUCGCUUCUCAUCCAUCGGAUUUUGUGUGUGCUCGUGUUUGUCGUCGAGUCGUCAAACACGUCAUCUCCGGCUCGAUCCCCACCUCACCAGCUUACCCCAGACUUCCAUUGAAGGUCGUCGUCGUUCGUGCAUCCCCAAGAAAACCCAAGAAUCGGGUAAAGACGAAGUUAGCAGCGCGAUUUUCCACAAGCGCUCAACCAAUUGCCUGGAUCGGAAAAUCGCUACCGAUCUCGCGGAUUCGAGUUAGCUGUUGAAACGGUAAGCUGAUGAAUUAUUCAGAAUAGUUCGAUCGUUGAAUAAAUUAAGGUGCUAGUGUGAUGCUCAUUAGGUGCUCGAUAAAUUGCGUAAGUCACGAAACUCUCGUCGACUUCGUAGUUCUUGCGAUUAUCGAGCCAGGUUCAGUUAUAACUAGUUAUUUCGCUAUUCCAGUCAAUUAGCUGAAUUAGUGUACCGAGUAGAAUUUUAG
rnacentral:misc_RNA from 1 species